GACAGAGGGGGCAAGCGUUGCUCGGAAUUACUGGGCGUAAAGGGCGCGUAGGCGGGAUGGCAAGUCGGUCGUGAAAUCCCUCGGCUCAACUGAGGAGCGUCGAUCGAAACUGCCGUUCUUGAGGGUUGCAGAGGAGACUGGAAUUCCCGGUGUAGCGGUGAAAUGUGUAGAGAUCGGGAGGAACACCGGUGGCGAAAGCGGCGCGCUGGACCACUACUGACGCUGAAAAGCGAAAGCCAGGGGAGCAAACGGG
rnacentral:rRNA from 1 species